UGGGGAAUAUUGCACAAUGGGCGAAAGCCUGAUGCAGCAACGCCGCGUGAGUGAUGAAGGUCUUCGGAUUGUAAAGCUCUGUCUUUUGGGACGAUAAUGACGGUACCAAAGGAGGAAGCCACGGCUAACUACGUGCCAGCAGCCGCGGUAAUACGUAGGUGGCGAGCGUUGUCCGGAUUUACUGGGCGUAAAGGGUGCGUAGGCGGAUGUUUAAGUGAGAUGUGAAAUACCCGGGCUUAACUUGGGUGCUGCAUUUCAAACUGGAUAUCUAGAGUGCAGGAGAGGAGAAUGA
rnacentral:rRNA from 1 species